AUCAAAUGAGGCUCAGGAAAGAAUAGGAGGUAAUGUUUCUACACAUAAGUGACCUGCAAGAAGAUGCCGAUUGCCUCUUUCAUCAUAUUAGUCAAUUUUCAGUAUAUGUCUAUGUGGCGGGCGUGGUUCAUGACCCGGGGCUCACAGGUGGCUGGGCAGGACCACGCAGCGCUUCCACGCUCUGUUGGAAGGCCGGUUGGAGGCCGGUUUGGCCAGCACGCCGACCUCCGGCUUCACAGUACUGUCGCACGCCUCCUCCUCCCCCUCCGAUUUCCGAGGUGCCUCGCCCCCCUUCACCUCCAGCUCCACCUCCGGCUGGUGAAUUCCCUCUGGCGCCUCCAUCCCCACCUCCGGCUGGUGAGUUCUCUCGUGCGCCUCCAUCUCAAGCGAUGGUGUGGCAGGUUCCUCCCACACACUCUGCGCACUGACUUCCGGCUCGGGCUGAGCAGGUGGCUGGGCUGGUGGUGGGCCCAGGAACAGGCGCAGGCAACUGCCAGGCACCAGCCGUUGGUCGCACCCUGGGGACCGUCACGGGCGUCGGAACAGUCCUGUGUUCUGACAAACCAUGCUACUUUGGCAAAACGUCCUACCAAACAACGGGUAGGAUGGUUUGCCAGGUAGGAUGGAUUCCCAGAACACCUGGACCUCCUCUUCUCCCACGCCGGUGGGGUGGCGGCGGUGUUGGCCAGGACCGCAGCAGCCAGAUUCUCAAUCCUCGGCACCCCACAUUCGAUCCGGUCCUGGAGUUCUUCCUGCAGGCUGCGAGACACCACCGCCUGCUCCCGCUGCGAGGCCGCCAGCUCGGCCACCGUCUGGGUCAGCUCCUUCCCUGGCUGGCCGGUCCUUGGUCUGGUGUGCCCUUAUCCUGGGUUUCAGCACAAAUGUGGCCACCAACAACAACAUUAAACAGUCAGCACAGACUUUUGAUUGCGGAUGCCGCUCAGCUGUUCCCAUACCAGGAGAUGUUCUGCGUUCUCCACAGCGUCUGCAUAGAAAGUCUUGAGGAUCACUGGAGAGACCCCGAACUUCCUAGCCUUUUUGGACUGGACCUGAUUGUGAGCAGACCAUGUCAGGUCUGAGGAGAUGUGGACACCGAGAUACUUGAAGGACCGCACCCUCUUCACUGGAGCUCCAUUGGUGAUAAUGGGCUUCUAGUCUCUGUUCAACAAAUCAAAAAGCAGGAGAAGAGGGGUACUCUUCUUAAUCAAAGCAUCUGCCCCAGAGCUAACCCAGCAAGCUACAAAGUCUCAUCAUCAUCAUCAUCAUCAUCCAUGGGAACCGAUCAAUAAUUCAGCAUGCUGCCCAGUGCAUCACUAUGCAUAGAGAUUUCAGCUCAGUCCUGGACAGUCAGAGGAUUCUCAUACAUAGGAAAUGGAGCUAUUCACCGAAGACCAAUAACAAGGAGUAAAUGGCAAAUGCAAGCCUAUAAUCCCCAUCGCUGUAUUUUAUUCCCCUCUGGCCAAUUGAAGAUAUACAGCAUUUUUGCUGCUGCUGGUCUUGGAAACACAGCGGCCAACAUCAUAUCCAGAGGGAAGCUUCCAGUGAACAGGAGGUAUCCAGCCCGGUAUUCACUAAUUACCAGAACUCACCUGGUUCCUCGACACUGCUCCGUUUGGACUUGCCUACUCACUAAUCACCUACCUGCCUGCCCUCCUGGACUGGGGAGCAUAAUCCGUUGGUUUUCCUUGGCUCAGAAACCCCUCAAACCCCUCUUGAUACCUCCUCCUGAGAAUGUCAGCUCACAAUGCUUUCCCUCCCUGUGACCCUGGACUCUUGUUCUGACCUCUCCCAUAUUAGCUGG
ensembl:lncRNA